UACGUAGGGCGCGAGCGUUGUCCGGAAUUAUUGGGCGUAAAGGGCGCGUAGGCGGCUUUGCGUGUCUUUCGUGAAAUCCCUCGGCUCAACUGAGGACGUGCGGAAGAAACUGCAGGGCUGGAGUCCGGGAGAGGAGGGUGGAAUUCCCAGUGUAGCGGUGAAAUGCGUAGAUAUCAGGAGGAACACCGGUGGCGAAGGCGGUGGUCUGGGCCGGCACUGACGCUGAGGAGCGAAAGCGUGGGGAGCAAACAGG
rnacentral:rRNA from 1 species